rnacentral:rRNA from 1 species
CCGCAACGAGCGCAACCCUUAUAUCUAGUUGCCAAGCAGUAAGAUGGGGACUCUAGAUAGACUGCCAGUGAUAAAACUGGAGGAAGGUGGGGAUGACGUCAAAUCAUCAUGCCCCUUAUGACUUGGGCUACACACGUGCUACAAUGGAUAGGAACAAAGAGAAGCGAGCUCGCGAGAGUAAGCAAACCUCACAAAACUAUUCUCAGUUCGGAUUGUAGUCUGCAACUCGACUACAUGAAGCUGGAAUCGCUAGUAAUCGCGAAUCAGAAUGUCGCGGUGAAUACGUUCCCGGGUCUUGUACACACCGCCCGUCACACCACGAGAGUUUGUAACACCCGAAGACGGUGGCCUAACCUUUUAGGAGGGAGCCGGUCACGGUGGGACAGAUGAUUGGGGUGAAGUCGUAACAAGGUAGCCGUAUCG